rnacentral:rRNA from 1 species
CCCUUAGAUGUCCUGGGCUGCACGCGCGCUACACUGACACAUUCAGCGAGUGUUCCUUGUCCGGUGGGAUUGGGUACUCUUCUUAACGUGUGUCGUGAUGGGGAUAGAUUAUUGCAAUUAUUAAUCUUCAACGAGGAAUUCCUAGUAAGUGCAAGUCAUCAGCUUGCGCUGAUUACGUCCCUGCCCUUUGUACACACCGCCCGUCGCACCUACCGAUUGAAUGGUCCGGUGAAGCCUCCGGAUUGGCGCGCACCUCGGUGCCGCCGAGAAGUUGGCUAAAUCUUACCAUUUAGAGGAAGGUGAANUCGUANCA